AUUGGAUUCCUAACUCCACCACCAACAUUUCUACUGGAGCGGAUUUGUUGUGGGAGCGGUGUACCCACCAUUCUUAGGGUAAGGGUCUAGGUGAGCGCCGCAGGCACUAGUUUGGGAUUCCUGUUGGCGUAGUUCAAGAAACCAUGGAAUCCAAGUAGAGGAGCGGAUAGAGCUCCGCGGCGUUAGUGGUCGCCCGAUCUACCUCCAAAAGGGAUCCGGGUGAGUGCCGCAGACAUCAGUUUGGGAUUCCUGUUGGCGUAAUUUAAGAAAUCAG